rnacentral:tRNA from 1 species
CAAAAAGUAGUUUAUAAAAAAUAGUAGUUUUGGGUACUACCGAAGAGAGUAUUCUUUUUGA